rnacentral:rRNA from 1 species
UACGUAGGGUGCGAGCGUUAAUCGGAAUUACUGGGCGUAAAGCGUGCGUAGGUGGUUCGUUGUGUCUGUGGUGAAAGCCCCGGGCUUAACCUGGGAACGGCCAUGGAAACUGGCGAGCUGGAGUGUGGCAGAGGGGGGUGGAAUUCCGCGUGUAGCAGUGAAAUGCGUAGAGAUGCGGAGGAACACCGAUGGCGAAGGCAGCCCCCUGGGCUAACACUGACGCUGAGGCACGAAAGCGUGGGGAGCAAACAGG